CAGCAGACUAAGCUCCAAGAGUCCGGGGAAGGAGGCCUAUGGUCCCGGCGUCGCGGGCUGCUUCUUGGGAAAUCUCGGGCAGGGGGAUGCGACUUGUGUUGCUAUACCUCCUCCCCCAACCUUUCUCUAACCUCCUCCCCCGCCCACUCUCCCGGAAAAUACAAGCUGUGUAAUAGGCAGGUAGCCCGAAGCUGCGAUGUAGGAGUGGUGAGUGAUCCCGGGCUGGCAUUGCCCUCCUGAAUUUAGGAACAGUCUGGUGGCGGAGGAGGGUCAAAGGGACAUCCGCUUCUUUUGAUUGAGGGCGCGGUUCACUUCCCGCCGACGGCGGGAUGGAAGAGCUUGGAGCAAAGGGCUCUCUGGGAUGGCUCUUUGAGCAGGUAAUUCUGCGACGGGGUCGAGAGCCAGUGACUGACACUCUCGGUGAUGGCAACCAGGCCGGGCAGCGCCCUUUCCGGUUAUCAAAAUGAUUAACCUCCGGGCCUUGCCUCUGGUGAGAUCCCCACUAGUCCUCCAGCUUACCCCUCACAGGAAUUAGGGGGCGCUCCUUUCAAAGGAGGAGCCCAGGGUCGCCGCCUGGGCCCUUCCUUACCUCCAUCCGGCCUUUCCUCGGAGUGGCCCUGGGGGAGGAGGGGGUAG